UGGGAUAUGUAAAUGUGACACACAGUC
rnacentral:piRNA from 1 species